rnacentral:miRNA from 1 species
ACAAAUAAGUCCAUUACCUGAACC